UACGUAGGUGGCAAGCGUUAUCCGGAAUUAUUGGGCGUAAAGAGCGCGCAGGUGGUUAAUUAAGUCUGAUGUGAAAGCCCACGGCUUAACUGAGGAACUGCAACCAAAACUAUCUUUCUUGAGUGCUGGAGAGGAAAGUGGAAUUCCUAGUGUAGCGGUGAAAUGCGUAGAUAUUAGGAGGAACACCAGUGGCGAAGGCGACUUUCUGGACAGUAACUGACGUUGAGGCACGAAAGUGUGGGGAGCAAACAGG
rnacentral:rRNA from 1 species